UACGUAGGGUGCAGGCGUUAAUCGGAAUUACUGGGCGUAAAGCGUGCGCAGGCGGUCUUUUAAGUCAGAUGUGAAAUCCCCGGGCUUAACCUGGGAACUGCGUUUGAAACUGGAAGGCUAGAGUGUGGCAGAGGGGGGUGGAAUUCCACGUGUAGCAGUGAAAUGCGUAGAUAUGUGGAGGAACACCGAUGGCGAAGGCAGCCCCCUGGGCUAACACUGACGCUGAGGCGCGAAAGCUAGGGGAGCGAACGGG
rnacentral:rRNA from 1 species